GAUGAACGCUGGCGGCGUGCCUAAUACAUGCAAGUCGAGCGAAAAGACGAGGAGCUUGCUCCUCUGACGUUAGCGGCGCACGGGUGAGUAACACGUGGAUAACCUACCUAUAAGACUGGGAUAACUUCGGGAAACCGGAGCUAAUACCGGAUAAUAUAUUCAACCGCAUGGUUCAAUAGUGAAAGACGGUUUUGCUGUCACUUAUAGAUGGAUCCGCGCGGCAUUAGCUAGUUGGUAAGGUAACGGCUUACCAAGGCAACGAUGCGUAGCCGACCUGAGAGGGUGAUCGGCCACACUGGAACUGAGACACGGUCCAGACUCCUACGGGAGGCAGCAGUAGGGAAUCUUGCGCAAUGGGCGAAAGCUUGACGGAGCAACGCCGCGUGAUUGAUGAAGGUCUUCGGAUCGUAAAACUCUGUUAUUAGGGAAGAACAAAUGUGUAAGUAACUAUGCACGUCUUGACGGUACCUAAUCAGAAAGCCACGGCUAACUACGUG
rnacentral:rRNA from 1 species